AGCAUGACAAACUCCCAGUUACUGACAGGUGGGGGGCCGGCGGGGAAGCUUACUCUAGGGCGGCUCUCGGCUACCUCUGGCAGACAGCUGCAGAAGGAGGGAGUGACCGUGUGGCCCUGUGAAUCGGACCCGCUUGGUCCUGUGAUAACAGAGGAGCCGGUCCUUAGGACUCUGCCCCCAUCUCCGCUAGAAGGAGAGAUGGUGGACAAUGAAAGGGCGGACGGCUGACAUCCAAUUUGACCAGCCAGCCCGGGGAAACGAAUGUCCACAGCAGCUGAGCGCAUUGACAAUGGGGCCGGUAAUGUUAAUGCGGCCACCUGGAGGGCCUAGGGCCCGGCCUCGCAAAUCACUGUGCGCGGAGAGCUCAUGAUCCUGCCAGGUGGGGAAACUGAGGCAGAGAGGGGUGUACCCAAAGGCUCCAGAGCAAGCCUAUGGCACAGGGGAGAAUGCUGUGAUAUAAAAGUAGGGGUGCUACAGUCAAUCCCUUGUCAUUAUCUAAGUCACUCUCCCGGCCGUUAUAAAAGGUAGGAAACAGUAACAAGGUACAGUCGGAAACUCUCUGCAAUCUACACCUCGGGAAGUUUUUGACUGUUGCGAGUGUUCACUAGGAAACUCAGAGCGAUGCAGGUGAAGAGAAAGCGGCUCCGCUGAGAUAAAGCUGGGGAGUGACACACAGCACUGAAUGGGAUGAACCAAGGGAGGAGUCCCAGACGCACCCCCAUCUCCGCCCUCUCCAAAUUACAGCAUUGCUUGCCUUCCCCCCCCCCCUCAGAAACACCUCUCUCGCCAGAGCAUUACAAUAUUCAGCUCAGCCGAAAAGUUCAACUCUUUUGAAGGAUCAUGGCUAUUAUCACUAUAACCGCUGUAUAUUACCUGAUAACCAUUUGCAUGAGUUACCGGGCUGGUUUUUUUGUUUGUUUUUUCCUUUUUACGCUUUUCGGGGACAGAAAAUGCACCCCCUCCCCGCCCCAAUGCUUGCUAAAACGUCCGUUGCAACGUGUCUGUUUUAGCGAAGGCAUUAUUUCCCAAUGCGUCUGAUCAUGGAUUGUCGUAACACUUGGGUUAUGGGCAGUGCUUGCAGACGAGUUUCUGCUAUGGGAAGACGUAUGUCAGAGAGCAGAAAAUUAUUGACAAAGCUCAGAACCACUCUUCCAACAAGAUUAACAAUUCAACCAGACACAGGUUGAGUGUCACCCUUAGAAUUCCUCCUACAUGGGCAAUCCUGGCCGGGCGACCCUACAGCCUAAAUGGGUACCAUUAGGGUGCUCAGGGGUGCGAAA